rnacentral:sRNA from 1 species
AGCUUAUUAUUGCUUCUGAAAGCUUUAAUGGUGUAGCUGAAGUCCAUAUGAGUCUUUGGCUUUGUAUCUUCUAAUAAGGAACCACUAAUUU